GUGCUGUGAUGCUGCCAGCCACUGCCCUCCCUGCUGCACAAGUGUGCCUCUGCAGUCCUUCCUUCUCCACCCCUCACCAGCCCCAGACAUGAGGCCGGGGACACAGAGGGGUGAGACAUGCAGGCUGUUUGCCUCUAAGGAGCUUUUGUGCCUCAUUCGCCUGCUGCAGGGGUCUGGAGGAUCAGCACAAGUCUUGAAAUGCUUCAUAAGAAUUUCCACACUGAAAGGGAGCAGUGGAAGCUUCUAAUGCAUCUGGCUGUAGACUUCCCUCAAGAACCAAAUAAAUCUAGGGCUGCUGAUAUGUAUUGGAUCCACCAUGUGAUUUGUAUUGAAGUCCCUUGGUGAGAAGAAAUGCUGUGAACAAAUACCGUUAAGUACACCCAAACCAGCAACUGUGAGAUCAGGGCUGAGCGCCAGACCUGCUGUUGGUCAAUGGGGACAGACAGACAGGUUUCAUGACAUGCUCAAGAUCAUAUGAGCUGCCUGUGACAGAAUGAGAAACUGCACCUGGAUCUCUCAAUUGUGAGGCUGUUGGUUUUGGCACUGCAUCGUCUUGACUGCAAACCACACAUCCAGAUUGACUUUCUCUGUGUGCUUCC